rnacentral:rRNA from 1 species
AGAGUUUGAUCCUGGCUCAGGAUGAACGCUAGCUACAGGCUUAACACAUGCAAGUCGAGGGGCAGCAUGGUCUUAGCUUGCUAAGGCCGAUGGCGACCGGCGCACGGGUGAGUAACACGUAUCCAACCUGCCGUCUACUCUUGGACAGCCUUCUGAAAGGAAGAUUAAUACAAGAUGGCAUCAUGAGUCCGCAUGUUCACAUGAUUAAAGGUAUUCCGGUAGACGAUGGGGAUGCGUUCCAUUAGAUAGUAGGCGGGGUAACGGCCCACCUAGUCUUCGAUGGAUAGGGGUUCUGAGAGGAAGGUCCCCCACAUUGGAACUGAGACACGGUCCAAACUCCUACGGGAGGCAGCAGUGAGGAAUAUUGGUCAAUGGGCGAGAGCCUGAACCAGCCAAGUAGCGUGAAGGAUGACUGCCCUAUGGGUUGUAAACUUCUUUUAUAAAGGAAUAAAGUCGGGUAUGCAUACCCGUUUGCAUGUACUUUAUGAAUAAGGAUCGGCUAACUCCGUGCCAGCAGCCGCGGUAAUACGGAGGAUCCGAGCGUUAUCCGGAUUUAUUGGGUUUAAAGGGAGCGUAGAUGGAUGUUUAAGUCAGUUGUGAAAGUUUGCGGCUCAACCGUAAAAUUGCAGUUGAUACUGGAUAUCUUGAGUGCAGUUGAGGCAGGCGGAAUUCGUGGUGUAGCGGUGAAAUGCUUAGAUAUCACGAAGAACUCCGAUUGCGAAGGCAGCCUGCUAAGCUGCAACUGACAUUGAGGCUCGAAAGUGUGGGUAUCAAACAGGAUUAGAUACCCUGGUAGUCCACACGGUAAACGAUGAAUACUCGCUGUUUGCGAUAUACGGCAAGCGGCCAAGCGAAAGCGUUAAGUAUUCCACCUGGGGAGUACGCCGGCAACGGUGAAACUCAAAGGAAUUGACGGGGCCCGCACAAGCGGAGGAACAUGUGGUUUAAUUCGAUGAUACGCGAGGAACCUUACCCGGGCUUAAAUUGCAGAUGAAUUACGGUGAAAGCCGUAAGCCGCAAGGCAUCUGUGAAGGUGCUGCAUGGUUGUCGUCAGCUCGUGCCGUGAGGUGUCGGCUUAAGUGCCAUAACGAGCGCAACCCUUGUUGUCAGUUACUAACAGGUUCUGCUGAGGACUCUGACAAGACUGCCAUCGUAAGAUGUGAGGAAGGUGGGGAUGACGUCAAAUCAGCACGGCCCUUACGUCCGGGGCUACACACGUGUUACAAUGGGGGGUACAGAGGGCCGCUACCACGCGAGUGGAUGCCAAUCCCCAAAACCUCUCUCAGUUCGGACUGGAGUCUGCAACCCGACUCCACGAAGCUGGAUUCGCUAGUAAUCGCGCAUCAGCCACGGCGCGGUGAAUACGAACCCGGGCCUUGCACACACCGCCCGUCA